rnacentral:rRNA from 1 species
CCUACGGGAGGCAGCAGUGAGGAAUAUUGGACAAUGGGCGCAAGCCUGAUCCAGCCAUGCCGCGUGCAGGAAGACGCAUCUAUGGUGUGUAAACUGCUUUUGUACGGGAAGAAACACUCCUUCGUGAAGGAGCUUGACGGUACCGUAAGAAUAAGGAUCGGCUAACUCCGUGCCAGCAGCCGCGGUAAUACGGAGGAUCCAAGCGUUAUCCGGAAUCAUUGGGUUUAAAGGGUCCGUAGGCGGUUUAAUAAGUCAGUGGUGAAAUCUGGUCGCUCAACGAUCAAACGGCCAUUGAUACUGUUAGACUUGAAUUACUAGGAAGUAACUAGAAUAUGUAGUGUAGCGGUGAAGUGCUUAGAUAUUACAUGGAAUACCAAUUGCGAAGGCAGGUUACUACUAGUGGAUUGACGCUGAUGGACGAAAGCGUGGGGAGCGAACAGGAUUAGAUACCCUGGUAGUCCACGCCGUAAACGAUGGAUACUAGCUGUUGGCGCAAGUUCAGUGGCUAAGCGAAAGUGAUAAGUAUCCCACCUGGGGAGUACGUUCGCAAGAAUGAAACUCAAAGGAAUUGACGG